AACGAACGCUGGCGGCAUGCCUAACACAUGCAAGUCGAACGAAGGCUUCGGCCUUAGUGGCGCACGGGUGCGUAACGCGUGGGAAUCUGCCCUUUGGUUCGGAAUAACAGCUGGAAACGGCUGCUAAUACCGGAUGAUGACGAAAGUCCAAAGAUUUAUCGCCAGAGGAUGAGCCCGCGUUGGAUUAGGUAGUUGGUGGGGUAAGGGCCUACCAAGCCGACGAUCCAUAGCUGGUCUGAGAGGGUGAUCAGCCACACUGGGACUGAGACACGGCCCAGACUCCUACGGGAGGCAGCAGUGGGGAAUAUUGGACAAUGGGCGCAAGCCUGAUCCAGCAAUGCCGCGUGAGUGAUGAAGGCCCUAGGGUUGUAAAGCUCUUUUACCCGGGAAGAUAAUGACUGUACCGGGAGAAUAAGCCCCGGCUAACUCCGUG
rnacentral:rRNA from 1 species